rnacentral:rRNA from 1 species
UACAGAGGGGGCGAGCGUUAAUCGGAAUUACUGGGCGUAAAGCGCGCGUAGGCGGCUUUGCAAGUCGGGUGUGAAAUCCCCAGGCUUAACCUGGGAACUGCAUUCGAGACUGCAUUGCUAGAGUAUGGGAGAGGGAAGUGGAAUUUCCGGUGUAGCGGUGAAAUGCGUAGAUAUCGGAAGGAACAUCAGUGGCGAAAGCGACUUCCUGGACCAAUACUGACGCUCAUGUGCGAAAGCGUGGGGAGCAAACAGG